AAAUGCCGGAAUGAGUAGCGAGAAAUAUGUGAGAAUCAUAUUGGCCGAAAGUCUAAGGUUUUUGGAGGAAGGUUCGUCCGCUCCAAGUAAGCCGGGAGCUAAGGUGAGGCCGAAAGGCGUAGCCGAUGCACAUACGGUAGAUAUUCCGUAGCCGCCAAAAGAUUUAAGUAAGAGGACACCUUGAAAGGACUUGACCCGGGCGAUGGUUGCCCCGGGCGAAAGGGACCGAAAUUUAGUAGGGAAGCAAGUUUGGACGAGGGCGAGAAAAGUCUUAUGUAUAUCUUCGGCGCCCGUACCGCAAACCGACACAGGUAGAUAGGAAGAGAAUUCUAAGGCCAACGGGAGAAGGGUAGUUAAGGAACUCGGCAAAUUGACCCCGUAACUUAGGAAUAAGGGGUGCCACAGCGAUGUGGUCGCAGAGAAUAGGCCCAGGCAACUGUUUAUCAAAAACACAGGUCUCUGCCAAAUCGAAAGAUGAAGUAUAGGGGCUGACACCUGCCCGGUGCUGGAAGGUUAAGAGGAGAUGUGCAAGCAUUGAAUUGAAGCCCCAGUAAACGGCGGCCGUAACAAUAACGGUCCUAAGGUAGCGAAAUUCCUCGUCGGGUAAGUUCCGACCCGCACGAAUGGUGUAAUGAUCUGGGCACUGUCUCAAUUACCCGCCCGGCGAAAUUGUAGUACCGGUGAAGAUGCCGGUUACCCGCGACAAGACGGAAAGACCCCAUGGAGCUUUACUGUAGCUUAAUAUUGGGUUUCGAUAAUUUAUGUAUAGGAUAGGCGGGAGACUAGGAAACCGUGGCGCCAGCCACGGCGGAGUCGACGUUGGAAUACCGCUCUUAAGUUAUUGGAAUUCUAACCUGCGGCCAUGAAUCUGGCCGGGGGACAUUGUUAGGUGGGCAGUUUGACUGGGGCGGUCGCCUCCAAAAAGGUAACGGAGGCGCUCAAAGGUUGGCUCAGCAUGGUUGGAAACCAUGCCUUAGAGUGUAAACGCGUAAGCCAGCCUAACUGCGAGGAUGACGGUCCGAGCAGUAACGAAAGUUGGAGUUAGUGAUCCGGCGGUAUGAGAGUGGAAUUGCCGUCGCUCAACGGAUAAAAGCUACCCUGGGGAUAACAGGCUGAUCUCCCCCAAGAGUCCACAUCGACGGGGAGGUUUGGCACCUCGAUGUCGGCUCAUCACAUCCUGGGGCUGUAUUCGGUCCCAAGGGUUCGGCUGUUCGCCGAUUAAAGUGGUACGCGGGCUGGGUUCAGAACGUCGUGAGACAGUUCGGUCCCUAUCUGUCGUGGGCGCAGGAUAUUUGAGGAGAGCUGUCCUUAGUACGAGAGGACCGGGAUGGACGCACCUCUGGCGCACCAGUUGUCACGCCAGUGGCACAGCUGGGCAACUAUGUGCGGAACGGAUAAACGCUGAAAGCAUCUAAGCGUGAAGCCGACUCCAAGAUUAGAUAUCCCAUAGCGUAAGCUAGUAAGACCCCUUGUAGACUACAAGGUUGAUAGGCUGCAUGUGUAAGCACGGUAACGUGUUCAGCUUGGCAGUACUAAUAGGUCGAGGGCUUGAC
rnacentral:rRNA from 1 species